GUGCCUGCUUCAACAGCAUAUAUACCAAAAUUAGAAUAAUACGGAGAAGAUUAACAUAGUCCCUGCACAAAGAUGACAAGAAAGCCAUGAAGUGUUCCAUAUGUAA
ensembl:snRNA U6 U6 spliceosomal RNA